UACAGAGGUCUCAAGCGUUGUUCGGAUUCAUUGGGCGUAAAGGGUGCGUAGGUGGCGGGGCAAGUCAGGUGUGAAAUCUCGGAGCUCAACUCCGAAACUGCACUUGAUACUGCCUUGCUGGAGUACUGGAGAGGAGAUUGGAAUUUACGGUGUAGCAGUGAAAUGCGUAGAUAUCGUAAGGAAGACCAGUGGCGAAGGCGGGUCUCUGGACAGUUCCUGACGCUGAGGCACGAAGGCCAGGGGAGCAAACGGG
rnacentral:rRNA from 1 species